GAUGAACGCUAGCGGCAGGCCUAAUACAUGCAAGUCGAACGGUGUCUUCGGACAUAGUGGCGCACGGGUGCGUAACACGUAUGCAACCUACCUUACAUUGGGGGAUAGCCUUUCGAAAGGGAGAUUAAUACCGCAUAAGACAGUAGCUGGGCAUCCAGCAGCUGUUAAAGAUUUAUCGAUGUAAGCUGGGCAUGCGUCCAAUUAGCUAGUUGGUGAGGUAACGGCUCACCAAGGCAAUGAUUGGUAGGGGAACUGAGAGGUCAAUCCCCCACACGGGCACUGAGAUACGGGCCAGACUCCUACGGGAGGCAGCAGUAGGGAAUAUUGGGCAAUGGACGCAAGUCUGACCCAGCCAUGCCGCGUGCAGGAUGAAGGCGUUAUGCGUUGUAAACUGCUUUUAUACAGGAAGAAACGACUCUUGCGAGAGGCAUUGACGGUACUGUAUGAAUAAGCACCGGCUAACUCUGUGCCAGCCGCCGCCGUAAUAC
rnacentral:rRNA from 1 species